rnacentral:rRNA from 1 species
AUGGCUCAGAUUGAACGCUGGCGGCAUGCUUUACACAUGCAAGUCGAACGGCAGCACGGGGGCAACCCUGGUGGCGAGAGGCGAACGGGUGAGUAAUAGUAUCGGAACGUACCCGGGAAAUGGGGGAUAACGUAGCGAAAGUUACGCUAAUACCGCAUAUGCCCUAAGGGGGAAAGCGGGGGAUUCGCAAGAACCUCGCGUUUUCGGAGCGGCCGAUAUCGGAUUAGCUAGUAGGUGAGGUAAAGGCUCACCUAGGCGACGAUCCGUAGCUGGUCUGAGAGGACGACCAGCCACACUGGAACUGAGACACGGUCCAGACUCCUACGGGAGGCAGCAGUGGGGAAUUUUGGACAAUGGGCGCAAGCCUGAUCCAGCCAUGCCGCGUGAGUGAAGAAGGCCUUCGGGUUGUAAAGCUCUUUCAGCCGGAAAGAAAACGCACGGGUUAAUAACCUGUGUGGAUGACGGUACCGGAAGAAGAAGCACCGGCUAACUACGUG